rnacentral:rRNA from 1 species
UACAGAGGUCCCAAGCGUUGUUCGGAUUCACUGGGCGUAAAGGGUGCGUAGGUGGUGGGGUAAGUCUGACGUGAAAUCUCCGAGCUUAACUCGGAAACUGCGUCGGAUACUAUCUUGCUUGAGGGUUGGAGGGGGGACUGGAAUACUUGGUGUAGCAGUGAAAUGCGUAGAUAUCAAGUGGAACACCAGUGGCGAAGGCGAGUCCCUGGACAACUCCUGACACUGAGGCACGAAAGCUAGGGGAGCAAACAGG